rnacentral:rRNA from 1 species
UUCCAGACUCCUACGGGAGGCAGCAGUGAGGAAUAUUGGUCAAUGGGCGAGAGCCUGAACCAGCCAAGUCGCGUGAGGGAAGACGGCCCUACGGGUUGUAAACCUCUUUUGUCAGGGAGCAAGAACAGAUACGUGUAUCUGAGCGAGAGUACCUGAAGAAAAAGCAUCGGCUAACUCCGUGCCAGCAGCCGCGGUAAUACGGAGGAUGCGAGCGUUAUCCGGAUUUAUUGGGUUUAAAGGGUGCGUAGGCGGGCUGCCAGGUCGGCGGUAAAAUUGGGGGGCUCAACCCCGUCGAGCCGUUGAAACUGGCGGUCUUGAGUGGGCGAGAAGUAUGCGGAAUGCGUGGUGUAGCGGUGAAAUGCAUAGAUAUCACGCAGAACUCCGAUUGCGAAGGCAGCAUACCGGCGCCCGACCGACGCUGAAGCACGAAAGCGUGGGUAUCGAACAGGAUUAGAUACCCCAGUAG